rnacentral:rRNA from 1 species
CACGUAGGGCGCAAGCGUUGUCCGGAAUUAUUGGGCGUAAAGAGCUCGUAGGCGGUCUGUUGCGUCCGCUGUGAAAACCCGGGGCUUAACCCUGGGCUGGCAGUGGAUACGGACAGACUAGAGGUAGGUAGGGGAGAAUGGAAUUCCCGGUGUAGCGGUGAAAUGCGCAGAUAUCGGGAGGAACACCGGUGGCGAAGGCGGUUCUCUGGGCCUUACCUGACGCUCAGGUGCGAAAGCUAGGGGAGCGAACAGG